rnacentral:lncRNA from 1 species
CCCGAUGGAUAUGCAUCCUACCCAAAUUCGGUCAAACCCGAAAAAAAAGAUUUGACCGAAUUUGGAUUCGGAUUUGAAAAAAAUUUGAAAACUACAGUACGGGUAUGGAUAGUACUGUUUUCUAUCCAAAUCCAAAUCUGAAUCCAAUCUGAACCUAUAGAUAUGGGUAACAUCCGAAACCAUAUCCAAAUACACACACACACACACAUAUAUAUAUAUA